GAGUUUGAUCAUGGCUCAGAUUGAACGCUGGCGGCGUGCUUAACACAUGCAAGUCGAGCGGCAGCGCGGGGGCAACCCUGGCGGCGAGCGGCGAACGGGUGAGUAAUACAUCGGAACGUGUCCUGUCGUGGGGGAUAACCAGUCGAAAGAUUGGCUAAUACCGCAUGACCUCGUAAGAGAAAAGCGGGGGACCGUAAGGCCUCGCGCGAACUGGAGCGGCCGAUGUCGGAUUAGCUAGUUGGCGGGGUAAAAGCCCACCAAGGCGACGAUCCGUAGCUGGUUUGAGAGAACGACCAGCCGACACUGGGACUGAGACACGGCCCAGACUCCUACGGGAGGCAGCAGUGGGAAUUUUGGACAAUGGGGGCAACCCUGAUCCAGCCAUGCCGCGUGUGUGAAGAAGGCCUU
rnacentral:rRNA from 1 species